rnacentral:tRNA from 1 species
GAGGUCUUGGCUUAAUUAAAGCGUCUGAGUUGCAGUCAGAAGAUGUGUGUUUAUACAGGCCUUC